AGAGUUUGAUCCUGGCUCAGGAUGAACGCUAGCGGCAGGCUUAAUACAUGCAAGUCGAGGGGCAGCAGGUCCCGCAGCAAUGCGGGAUGCUGGCGACCGGCAAACGGGUGCGGAACACGUACACAACCUUCCUUUAAGUGGGGAAUAGCCCGGGGAAACCCGGAUUAAUACCCCGUAAUAUAAUAGAGUGGCAUCGCUUUAUUAUUAUAGCUCCGGCGCUUGAAGAUGGGUGUGCGACUGAUUAGGCAGUUGGCGGGGUAACGGCCCACCAAACCUACGAUCAGUAACUGGUGUGAGAGCACGACCAGUCACACGGGCACUGAGACACGGGCCCGACUCCUACGGGAGGCAGCAGUAAGGAAUAUUGGUCAAUGGACGCAAGUCUGAACCAGCCAUGCCGCGUGGAGGAUGAAGGUCCUCUGGAUUGUAAACUUCUUUUAUCUGGGAAGAAAUCCACAAAUUCUUUUGUGGUUGACGGUACCAGAUGAAUAAGCACCGGCUAACUCCGUGCCAGCAGCCGCGGUAAUACGGAGGGUGCAAGCGUUAUCCGGAUUCACUGGGUUUAAAGGGUGCGUAGGUGGGUUGGUAAGUCAGUGGUGAAAUCUCCAGGCUUAACUUGGAAACUGCCAUUGAUACUAUCAAUCUUGAAUACCGUGGAGGUCAGCGGAAUAUGUCAUGUAGCGGUGAAAUGCUUAGAUAUGACAUAGAACACCAAUUGCGAAGGCAGCUGGCUACACGAAUAUUGACACUGAUGCACGAAAGCGUGGGGAUCAAACAGGAUUAGAUACCCCCGUAGUCC
rnacentral:rRNA from 1 species